UUGGAGGGCAAGUCUGGUGCCAGCAGCCGCGGUAAUUCCAGCUCCAAUAGCGUAUAUUAAAGUUGUUGCAGUUAAAAAGCUCGUAGUUGAAUUUCGGGAUCAAUUUGUUGGUCGUGCCUCGGUACGUACUGGCAAUUUUGAUUUCUCCCUUCUGAAGAACCAUGAUGUCACUAAUUUGGUGUCAUGGGGAAUCAGGACCGUUACUUUGAAAAAAUUAGAGUGUUUAAAGCAGGC
rnacentral:rRNA from 1 species